ensembl:snoRNA
ACACACUUGUGGUUCAGAUGUGUGAUGACUGGGUUUUCAUACUCGCAUGUGAAAUGUGCAAGGUUCAAACUUUAUUUUGGUGUCAGCACACUACGUGUCUGACA